CCGGUUGCGACAACUUUCCCUCUUGCAUGAAUUGGAUUCUCCUUUUCAUUUUUUGUCAGAAAAAAAAGGAAAACAGUAUCAAACCAUGGCUAGAUUCAGAUUAUUAUAAGGAUUAAAUAAAUUUCCAAUUGGAAUGUUGGAGCCGGCAAGCAGGAGCUGCAUUGUAUCUAUCUCCCGCGCCAAGUUGCGGCAACCUCGGCUAUAAACCUUUGCUGUCCAAAACCCUCACAAAACCCCCCCACGAGCUUUCCUCUCAAAGUCCAUUCACAAGAAUCGAUCUUUAAUCGCAAAAGAUAUGAUCCCGUGCACCGGUAGCAUCACCCGGCGAUCCCCAGCCUUGUUCCGGUUGGUGGGUCUUUCUCGCGCCCACCCUUCUCUUUUCGCCCCAGUUCAUGCCAAAGCGGUCCAGAAAAGCGGGUUCUGGAGCCCUUCCUCGUGUCAAAAUCCUGCCUUUCCUCUGAAUUGUGGCCGCUCUGGGGUUUCUAAGGACUCGUGUCGGGUUGAAACUGGGUUCGGACAACUGGGUUUCAACCGGGCCCGGUUUUCGGCAGUUUCGGACGCGGGGUCUGGUGGAACUGGUGGUUAUGGAGGUUCUGGUGAUAAGAAUUACGGAGGAGGAGGGGAAGGUGACAAUGGCGGAGGCGGGGGGAACAGUGGAAACAACUGGUCCUUGCUUUCUUGGUAUCUGACCCUACUUGCAAAAUAUCCAGUGGUAACAAAAGCGGUGACUUCUGCAUUACUAACAUUCCUUGGAGAUUUGAUCUGCCAGCUUGUGAUUGAUCAAGCGCCGUCAUUCGACCUGAAAAGAAGCUUCUUAUUUACUUUUUUGGGGCUGGUGUUGGUGGGUCCAACGCUGCACUUCUGGUACUUAUACUUGAGCCAGUUAGUAACUGUGCCUGGUGCAUCGGGAGCUUUUUUGCGCCUUCUACUUGAUCAGUUCAUUUUCUCUCCUCUGUUCAUUGGUGUUUUCCUAGCUACGUUGGUAACACUGGAAGGGAGGCCAUCAGAUGUUGUUCCCAAGCUGCAACAGGAAUGGUUUUCUGCUGUUCUAGCAAAUUGGAAGCUCUGGAUACCGUUCCAGUUUCUCAAUUUCCGUUUCGUCCCACAGCAAUUUCAGGUCCUUGCCGCUAAUGUUAUUGCUUUGGUUUGGAAUGUGAUUCUAUCAUUCAAAGCUCAUAAAGAGAUUCUUCCUAAAUAGGUAGUUACUUCCUCCCUGCUUGUUGCAAUUUGUAGGGAGCUCUAAGUUUUGCCCAUGUAUCAUCCGUGUUCUACUAUUUUUGAGACUAUUGUUAUGCAACCAAGAACAUAAGAACAACUUUAACCUUGUGAAGGCUCGCUACAUAGUUGAUGUUGCCAUUCAAAAGUGCAAUUUCUGAUCAGAAUGAAGAAUUAAGAUUAUGAA